UACAGAGGUCUCAAGCGUUGUUCGGAUUCAUUGGGCGUAAAGGGUGCGUAGGCGGCGCGGUAAGUCGGGUGUGAAAUCUUGGAGCUUAACUCCGAAACUGCAUUCGAUACUGCCGUGCUUGAGGACUGGAGAGGAGACUGGAAUUUACGGUGUAGCGGUGAAAUUCGUAGAUAUCGGGUGGAACACCUGUGGCGAAGGCGGCCAUCUGGACGUCAACUGACGCUGAGACGCGAAAGCAUGGGGAGCAAACAGG
rnacentral:rRNA from 1 species